rnacentral:rRNA from 1 species
AUACGGAGGAUGCGAGCGUUAUCCGGAUUUAUUGGGUUUAAAGGGAGCGUAGGCGGGAGCUUAAGUCAGCGGUUAAAUGGUGCGGCUCAACCGUGCCCUGCCGUUGAAACUGGGUUUCUUGAGAGUGCAAGAGGCGGAUGGAAUUCAUGGUGUAGCGGUGAAAUGCUUAGAUAUCAUGAAGAACUCCGAUUGCGAAGGCAGUCCGCUGGGGCACGUCUGACGCUGAUGCUCGAAGGUGCGGGAAUCAAACAGGAUUAGAUACCCUGGUAGUCCGCACGGUAAACGAUGAUUACCCGCUGUCGGCGGCAGACAGUCGGCGGCCAAGCGAAAGCGAUAAGUAAUCCACCUGGGGAGUACGCCGGCAACGGUGAAACUCAAAGGAAUUGACGGG